AACGUGAAGCAUUUAAUAGAGGCCUGGGCAGCGACCAUGCAAGUCGGAGGUAGCACAGAGAGCUUGCUCUCGGGUGACGAGUGGCGGACGGGUGAGUAAUGUCUGGGGAUCUGCCCGAUAGAGGGGGAUAACCACUGGAAACGGUGGCUAAUACCGCAUAACGUCGCAAGACCAAAGAGGGGGACCUUCGGGCCUCUCACUAUCGGAUGAACCCAGAUGGGAUUAGCUAGUAGGCGGGGUAAUGGCCCACCUAGGCGACGAUCCCUAGCUGGUCUGAGAGGAUGACCAGCCACACUGGAACUGAGACACGGUCCAGACUCCUACGGGAGGCAGCAGUGGGGAAUAUUGCACAAUGGGCGCAAGCCUGAUGCAGCCAUGCCGCGUGUAUGAAGAAGGCCUUCGGGUUGUAAAGUACUUUCAGCGGGGAGGAAGGCGAUGCGGUUAAUAACCGCGUCGAUUGACGUUACCCGCAGAAGAAGCACCGGCUAACUCCGUGCCAGCAGCCGCGGUAAUACGGAGGGUGCAAGCGUUAAUCGGAAUUACUGGGCGU
rnacentral:rRNA from 1 species